GUCGAACGAUGAAGCCCAGCUUGCUGGGUGGAUUAGUGGCGAACGGGUGAGUAACACGUGAGCAACCUGCCCCUGACUCUGGGAUAAGCGCUGGAAACGGCGUCUAAUACUGGAUAUGUCCCGUCACCGCAUGGUGUGCGGGUGGAAAGAUUUUUCGGUUGGGGAUGGGCUCGCGGCCUAUCAGCUUGUUGGUGAGGUAAUGGCUCACCAAGGCGUCGACGGGUAGCCGGCCUGAGAGGGUGACCGGCCACACUGGGACUGAGACACGGCCCAGACUCCUACGGGAGGCAGCAGUGGGGAAUAUUGCACAAUGGGCGGAAGCCUGAUGCAGCAACGCCGCGUGAGGGAUGACGGCCUUCGGGUUGUAAACCUCUUUUAGCAGGGAAGAAGCGAAAGUGACGGUACCUGCAGAAAAAGCACCGGCUAACUACGUGCCAGCAGCCGCGGUAAUACGUAGGGUGCAAGCGUUAUCCGGAAUUAUUGGGCGUAAAGAGCUCGUAGGCGGUCUGUCGCGUCUGCUGUGAAAUUCCGAGGCUCAACCUCGGGCUUGCAGUGGGUACGGGCAGACUAGAGUGCGGUAGGGGAGAUUGGAAUUCCUGGUGUAGCGGUGGAAUGCGCAGAUAUCAGGAGGAACACCGAUGGCGAAGGCAGAUCUCUGGGCCGUAACUGACGCUGAGGAGCGAAAGGGUGGGGAGCAAACAGGCUUAGAUACCCUGGUAGUCCACCCCGUAAACGUUGGGAACUAGUUGUGGGGUCCUUUCCACGGAUUCCGUGACGCAGCUAACGCAUUAAGUUCCCCGCCUGGGGAGUACGGCCGCAAGGCUAAAACUCAAAGGAAUUGACGGGGACCCGCACAAGCGGCGGAGCAUGCGGAUUAAUUCGAUGCAACGCGAAGAACCUUACCAAGGCUUGACAUACACGAGAACGGGCCAGAAAUGGUCAACUCUUUGGACACUCGUGAACAGGUGGUGCAUGGUUGUCGUCAGCUCGUGUCGUGAGAUGUUUGGUGUAAGUCCCGCAACGAGCGCAACCCUCGUUCUAUGUUGCCAGCACGUAAUGGUGGGAACUCAUGGGAUACUGCCGGGGUCA
rnacentral:rRNA from 1 species